rnacentral:tmRNA from 1 species
GGGGGCGAAACGGUUUCGACGGGGAUAGUUGAAGCUUAGAUUGCAUACCGAGGUUCCGACUGCUCGUUAAACGGUUGGACGAAACACAAACGCAGACGAUUACGCGUAUGCUCUAGCCGCAUAAAUGGCUAGCGUCUUCCCAUUCUUUGCCUGCGAGAUUGGACGAAGACGUCGACUAGCGGGCUAGCCGAUCCGUUGAACCUGUGAAACGGUGAGGCGAAAACUAACACAGGUUAGUCUUUGGGCGGGCUUGCUCGGUUGCGACCCCGAAGGCGAAAUUCUGAUACUGAGCUAUGUAUGUAGAUGUCUAAGUGGAAUAUUUUCGGACGCGGGUUCGACUCCCGCCGCCUCCACCA